rnacentral:misc_RNA from 1 species
AACGCAAAUUGCGCUCUCGGGAUAGGCCUGAGAGCACGCCUCUUUGAGUAUCGAUUCCACCACCUCCAGAACAAACUUUGUUUUGACACUGGGAAUUUGAGUGUUUCAUAUCUUCGGAUGUGUCACCUGAAGCGGAAUGGAAUUGAGGGUCUGCGAAACUGCUGUUGAAUAUUCAUUGGCUGAAAGUGGUUUUGAACAUGGAUAAAUUUCCAAUGAUCAAUAAACUUUGGCUAUUUGCUAUCAGCGAAUCUAAGUUUUGCAAAACAGAAAGCCCUCUCCUAACUAAUAUCUUAACUAUCUAAGAAUUAGAUCUCAAAUGAAGCGAGACAACCCGCUGAACUUAA